CAUUUCCGCCUAGACAGAGGACCCCUAGAAGACAACACAAGGCUCAUUCCAUGGCCGGUAAUCUCGGAACAAACGUCUGUAACCCGAGUUUAGUUAGAGCCCCUGCCGCCGGUCGCGCUUGUUUUUUUUUUUUUAUUUUUUUUUCACUUUGAAAUCGAAUUUGACAUAUGACAGAUACUUAAAUUAAACAUGGCGUCCAUUGUAAUAAAUUUUUCAUGGAGAGAUAACCUAGACAAUAUAAUAAAUGCUUGUUAGAGUAAAAAACAAAUAAGCUGUCGAAGUGCAUUGUUUAACGAAGAAGAAAUACCAAGAAAAAUGCAUGUAUUAUGUAGUUCCAGCGAGAAACGACGAAGUAAAAGUAAAAUAAGUAAUAAUAUUUGCCGGCUUUCAAUCUAAUUUAAUAAUUCAGAAAUAAUUGAGACAUUUAACUAUAUCAAUACUAGAAAUUUUAAGGUUAUAAAUAGACAGAGAGAAUUCCUGUCAGCUCUCUGAAAGCAGUAUAAAAGGAAAAUACGUUCAAAUGUAAAAUGUUUAGACGGUUUACUAAACACAUUCACAAGUGUACAAGUAUUGAUAUGAGAUGAAUGAAUACACAGGAAAAAACAAUAAGAAUGAAGUCUGAAAUGUGCUGAAAUCUUUGCUGAUCUCCCACUAAUAUUGAACAGUACGACUCGUAAUUAUAUAUUAAGUCAGUUUGGAGAACAUACUAAAAACACUAAUGAUAUAAUCGUAAGUGAAAGGAAAUUCUCAAUAAAUGGUGAAAUUCUAGCUAGUGCAAAGGUUAAUUUAGGUUUGGCUAUGUCACAGGAAAAGUUUUUAAGUAUUAAUAAUUUCAUUUUGAUAUUACAAGAAAUAUUAUUAUCUGUGUUGUUUAAUGAUGAUAAAGGGAAUCACAUUGUAUAGAUUUUCAGGAACUGUCAAAUGACAGGCAAAGUAUAAUCAUGAUUAAUGAUAAAAUUCUAAAAAGCAAAGGGAUAAAACACCCUUAAUGUGCACUUGCUUAUUGCAUUUGACUAUUCUGAAAGAGAUGUCAAUAGCUUUACUCUAAAAUGUCUUAUUGUAGAUGCUAUAAGAAAACUAUUAAGUACUGUUAUAAUAAUAUCAAUGAUUGUUGUUUUUCUUUAAGACAAUGAUAAUAAUGACAUUUUGAACAAACAUUUGAAUGCACAUUAACAAUAGCGCAGAAAAGAUUCCCAAAUAGAGACUGUACAUCAUAGAUAUUAUGUAACUUAAUGUUAAUCAAAAUAAAUAUAUAUGUAAAUAUAUAU